AGCUGCUCCGCGCAUUAAGAAGAAAGGACUCACGAACGGACCAUUUCGGCUCGACAGCGGAAGAGAAGAAGCUUCUGUAAUGAAAUGUGAAGAUCCAACUGUCCGGUGCUAUCGUAACAUCGCUAUCGAAGGCACAGAUGCCUUCGCCCUACCCACCGUACAAUUCGACGUGCCCACUUCUGUUUUCGAACUUUCAAACAUCAUAAGACCAGAAAACCUAUCUAUCUUCAAAUCGCCUACAAACUGCAGUUUCGAGAAGUCUUUUCUUAACGUUAUCUAUAAAAGGAGAGAACCACAUUGUACUUAGGCCUCUAAAGCAGAUAACAUUAAAGUGUAUACAUUAAUUUCAGGUGAACAAAAUGCUCACCGACUUUUUGCUGAAAGCUUACAAAUGUGGGCUAAUGCGGGUAGGGCCUCGAGAAACAGUGCUCGUAUGUUUUCGAGGACCGAAAUUAGGGUCAACUGAGUAACAUACAUCCGGUGUACGAUUCUCAUCGAUUCCCGUUUCAGCUGAACAUGCCACACACGUAGGAUCCAAAUGUCCUUUAAAAGGCAACAUCUUCCAGACAUUUGAUGUUUUUAGCGAACAAAGGCCUGAAUAUACACACAUCGAGCUGUCAUACAGACCUUGGCGUAUGUCCUUUGAUUUCGAAGAAGCUACGCGGCGUUCAGUGUACGUAUGGCGUGCGACAUAGAUUUCUUGGCAAGAUGUCGGCUAAGGCAGCAGGGAUAUGGCAGCUGACUGAAUUAGUUAGAAGUAAAGAUAUGUUUGACGUGAUGUUUAACCUGUGAGAGAGCCGAGAGGGAUGGCGCAUGUCCAACAACAGGUGAGGAGGAUCUAACAGAGUGAUGGAAUACACAACACGACCCUACUGGUGACCUGCUAAGGAAACGGUAGGUCAUGAUAAGGCGGCGCCAUCACGAUCCACUAAUCCCAGGCACAGCAGACCUUUCAUGCUCAGAGAUUGCUAAAUCGUCUUCAUCCGGUGAGCAGUAAAGAAGAGAAUAUGACCGAGCUAUCGUGCGGCAAAUUCACAAUUGGGUGUUUCAUAUCGCGCCUACUAGCAACAUGAAAGUUAAAGAUUUACCAAAGUUCCCAGUAGGAUUGAGAAGCAGGUAUUACUGUUUUGAGGAGCUCGUCAAGCGACCACCGGAACGUGAAAUAACAUUGACAUAAUUUCAUUUUCUCUGUCUCGCUGAUUAUUUGCUACAAACGCAUACAGUCAAGUAUAUAAAUAGUUAACGGGAUAGCUAAUAGAGCUAAAAGGCAGACAGAGGCGAUGUACGCUCCAUUAAAGCAGGUGCUGUUGCUCUUAUGAACCAAACUUUAUUAUGCUACAAGUUGUUAUUACGGGCAAAAGUUUUCAUGUACGGAAAUUGUAACCAUUUAACUUUAAACCUCACUCUUCGUCUGCGAAAGCUCUCCAUCAAAUUAGAUUAUGAGAAAAAAUAUUUUCUGCCAACAUAGGCUUAUAUAACCUUUAGCCUUUUGCGAAAUUUUACAGCCUGCGUGACCCUGUUUGAAUAUUUAUUGAAGUCCGUUAUUGUAAGGUUGAACCCUAUCGACUCGAAUAUUCAUGCAGAAGCCGUACUUUCCAUGGCGCAACGAAGAAGGACCGAUACGAAUUUAUUUCAGAUAUGUAAAACAGACAUUUUAAUCUACCACAUGUAAAUGCACACCAUUGCUAUAGGCUCAAUUACAUAAUUCACAGCACAGAUUUAGGAAACGGUUUAAUCAGUCAUAAAACAAUUCAGCAAAUCGGCAACUAUUAUAUAUUUAGUACGAUUCUAUUUCCGUAGAAAUUUAAAAGUAAGAUUAAGCUUUACUGGGAAAGCGGGAAUAAGAUAGAAGCCCCUCAGAGUAAAAGAUUUCACUUGUUCUCAUGGUGACAUAAUCUAUAUAACCAAGAUAGAGCAAGGUAUAGCGUUCCCACUAAAGCCGGCUCGCUCGCUCGCUCGCUCGCUCACUCACUCACUCACUCACUCACUCACUCACUCGUAAAAUUGCCGCCUUGCGCCUUCAACACGUGUCCCAAAUACCCCCUCACUUGCCCCGCCUUCGUUUUCACUUGGCCGCUUACACGCAAAUGCCAAAGGAAAUGACAAAGUCCUAAACGGUAGAAAAGGCUAACGAAGUAGCGAUUCUCAAGAGACUUGCCAGGAGGACUGUGUCAAGCUGGGUCAAUGAUAGCCAAUCAACGCAGCGGACUGACUGACUGACUGACUGACUAGCAGAAGAAUCAACAAUCUCGGACGAGGGUGCCAAAGUCAACAGAACAUGCCACUGAAAUAGAAGCGAUUGAGGGAUAAAGCGGGCAUCCAAGCAAUAUGAUAAGCCAAUCAGCGACCCAUUCUUGUGGAAAAACAGCCGUAUGUGUCAGCAAAUGAACAUUAAGUGCGUCGUUUGGUAGUGAGUAAAGACGCUGCAAUAAACGAUGAACAGCGCCAUGGAAACGACGAGUUUUAAACAGGCAAGACAAAAAAAAUCUCUAAUUGCCAACGCCAUAGAGUUAAUUGAGAAACAAGACUUUUCAAAACAGGCCAUUGAGAGCCUGCUGUGUUUGUAUUUCUGUAAAUCAAAAGCGUGUUCGACUUCCAGCUGGGAAACAAACAAAUCAUUUAUAAUUCAAUAAAAUGCGUUGGUAAAGCUUCGAUUAGGUCAGCUUUUUCAGCUAUCACCUAUCCUACAAUAGAAAUGCAUGUGAAUUUUUCCGCUAGGGGAUCUUAAUGGCUUUUAGUCGUUCCCGUAAGCGUAUACCCCUUUUUCUAGACGUAAGGCAUUUUGUAUCAACUACUACAUUUUACGAACAAAUUGUUGAAUAACGCACAGUCACUCCAGCUGAUUACCAGACCGGAAGUCGCUUUAUUAAAGCGAUCGUGAGAUUCAAAGAAGGCGGCAAUAAAAAUAGUGGGAAUAAUACUUGCAGCCACAUCUAUACGACAAAACGUCUUGAUCAAAUGGUUAAGUGUCAAAUAAUUUUUGAGGCACAAAUCAUCUAAAAAUGACAUAGACGACUAUGCAUAAGAUACAUGUUAUAUAUAUAUAUAUAUAUAUAUAUAAAUUACGUAUCAUAUAAUAUUUAUAUAUUUAAUAACAGUAUUACAUGAAGACGCCACAUUCUGUCGAACGAAUGUCUCAAGGGAAUACACUUGAAGCAAAUCGCUUGAACAGCUCAAUUGUAGCGAGGGGGUAGACAGAUCUCCGACGAUCAACGAAGAAUAUGAAGUUCUGAGGGUCGUCCACACAUUCUAUCAGAAGUGGCGGCACGUGCAAAGCGUCCCGCCUCUGGUGAUGUAAGCGUGUGGUACGGAUACCGCGUUGCCGCGGAUACCGAGUUCAUUGAGAUCAUCGCGACCUGGCUAACUCUGAUAGCUACACCUCAGUGCGUCCAGCAGGUCGGGCGACAAGCCUGAGCUGAAGAGCUGAGAUUAGCUUGAUAGUUUCGUCGCCAGCGACGUCGUACAGAGCGCUUACCCGGAACCCCAGCCAUCUCCCUCGUAUCCUGCUGUCGUCAUAAUGCGCUGCCGCGGUUCUUCGGCUCCGCCCCAUCCUUCGCGGCGCACUCGACCCCUCUGACGGCGCGGCCAAAGGACGGGAGACCCGAGAGAUACACUCCCCAAGUGAGAGCUUACCGCCAAAGUUGACUUUACACUGAACGCUGGAAUAGGGAGCACUACGCCUACCGGCAGCUUUGGCCAGAUUCGCUGCCAGACUGACCGGCAUUGUGCCAGUAACAGCACUCUUCUUUUCUGGGACAUCAGUUAGUGAUGGGGAAGCGAGAAAAUGGUGCCGUUGACACAGUUCCCUAAUUGUGGUAAUCGGUGGCACAAACGGCCCUGCCCAGUCCGACAACGCAGGCGACGAAUGGCGUACCAUCGUCAGUCAUGGACCGUACGGCCCCUGCUACCAUAGGUGUAAAUGACUGUCAAGUCAAGCGUUUCCUGGGAAAUCAAGUGGAUCAAGGAAGAAAUAAAACUGGCUUGACAAAACAGCAAGAUCCAGGGGAUUAGGAGCAACGUCCUUAUCCGUCAGAACACUCAGCAACUUACAAACAUAACGAGAAGAGUCGAAACUAGAAGCCAGGGCAAGUCAGAUAUCAACAAGACGAGACGGUGUGGAUUUUACGUGAACGUAUCAGUAAAGAAGUUUGAGUGUAAAUAUAAGGUUAAAUCUAUUGGCUGUGAACCAGAAAUGGAACUGAAUAAGAUAUGAGUAAAACUUUAACUUGUUACAGGAGGUGGAUGCGAACAUUUAGCUUAAUAGCGUCGCCGCCCGCGUAUAUUCGGGUCAUAUACUCGUCGGGGUCAUGUAAUAUAACUGAAUGUAACGUUUUUUCUUCACAAAAUGCAAUUUGCAUUUAGUCAGCUUUUGAAAAUGCAGCUUCGAAGCAGUCGAAACUGUUGUACAAACACAAAGCGGUUAUUUUACAUGUUUUUUUCCUUUAACAAAAGUUUAAUGAAAUGCGAAAAAAAAAACAAACGGUAGCUCAGCUUUUGGACUUUGGACAAAGGAAAAUCCCAGGAAGGAUGAAUUCUAUCCAGUUUUUGGCCCGUAUGCAUCUAACAGACUGGGAGACCCUGAGAUCUCUCGCAUCUAAAAUGAGCGUUUCGUUGCUAGAAACAACAAGGUGGUCUAUAUAAGUGUCUUUUUCCCCUAUAUAAGUGAUUUUUAUUUUCUCAUAAAUAGUGAAACUACAAGCAUAGAAUAUGACUCGUGCGUCACCAUGGUGCCUAGCAGUUCCAUACGUGUGUAGAAACUUUUCAUUUCAAUGGCAAAAUGCAUUCAAUAGAAUGGCCGUUUACUUGGUACGGAAGAACGCUAGCAAGGUUAAAUAAUAUUCCUAAAAAAUAGAGAUAUAACGUACAGAAAGUACAAUUGAUCAUCAUAGCCAUAUCGCAACCGGCUCUCGCUUAAACAUAGACGCAGUUCUUCUGUAUGUCUUGAGCAUCGAAUAAGAAUGAGCUAUGAUUACUGAGCUCUUAGUUUAAAAGAUGUUUCCGAAACGCACCUUAGCUCUCUGAUCGUGUUAAUAAAUACAUGUAAAGGUUUUCGGACGACUAGAUCCGUAUUUUGGUUAGAGGUCCGAAGACACAUUCGCGCGCUGCGAAUACCAGCCCCUUUCUAUUACACCAAACGCUUAACUAAUAGUAUAUAACCAGCCAUAACUAUAUGCUCGCCUUUAGUAUUACCUAAUAAAAUAAACAAGUGCCUGAAUAAAAUUCGAUUGGUUAGUCUCAAGCUUCAAGUAACGAACGUUUGUUAGCAACGUAUGUAUCUUCGAUAGGCAGUUAUUCUUUUGUUCAAUAAAAUAGUUGACUUUCGCCCCUUUAGCGCAAAGAAAAACACCGAAUUCAGCGGUUAAGCGAGCUUGGUCGAAUUGUUUCAUUUUGAUUUAACAAUAGUGCAUUAUAGAUGUA